UCGUCUGUGAAAACUGUUUUUACGUAAUUGUUGUUGUUGUUGUUGUUGAUGAUGUUUUUUUCGCGUUGUCGUCUAGCGAAAUUGCAUUUAAAACGCUUCGCACCGUUUAAAGUACACCUACGACGACGUUUGCGCGUGUGUCGGCGAACACGAGAUUUUCGCAAAACACCAUUCGUGACGCGACCUCGCGCGGUGCGGUGGGACCGGCGACAGACGCUCGUGGGUUUUCGUGGACCACGUACGCGCGCGGCAACUCCGCGAGGCGUAAGUUUUUGUGUAAUAACUGUCCGUCGACGGGUCGUCGUCGAGCAUAAUAUAAUACGUGCGUGAGUGUAGGUGUGCAUGUAAACUUGUACGGCUCGCGAAAUAUAUCGUCGCCGUUAGUAUACCGUAAUAAUAAGGUCAGACGAGAAUUGCGGCGUGUGUCAUAUACAAAAUAAUAUUGUAAUGUGCAAAACCCUCGCAAAACGUCGGCGACCAACGCGCGAAAAGAGCGUAUAUUGCGUUGUCAAUAUUACAUUAUUAUGCGAACGUCGCCGUGUAUAUAAUAAUAAUAUAUGUAUCCAAAGUCUAGCUGGCAGCUGUUAUGAAUUAUAUGCGAUCGACCGAUAAAUGACGACGGGAAAUCGAAAUCGCGAAUAAUAUAUUAUAUGGUCGGUAUAGAUACCGCCUACUUAUGGACUAACUAAACCCGAAAUUUCACAACUACUGAUGCUAAAACCGUGGGAAGGCUUACCAAGAUGUUGUAAAAUUGUUUGUAUACUGAGUAGUUCAUACUAAGCAUGAUCACCCCCUUCCAAUAAAUUGUUUCCUUUAAUAAUGCAUUUUUCAAACUAUGAUUUUUGGGAUUAUAAGUAUACUUAAGGACCAUAAUUUCAAUUAUUUAGAUAUUUUGUACAAUUUAUGAAUUAUCCUGUUGUAAAACUAACUUUUUUUUCAAGCGAAUAUCAAUAUUUUUUCUAUAAAUUAAUAAGCAGAUGAUGAUUUUUUUAAUUUUUAUGUGUCAAAUCAAUAUUUGUACUUAUAGUAAUUUGUAAAAUAUACCUGUAUACACACUAAAGAUAAUAGUUCUUAAAAAUAGCUUUUCAAAAAUAUAAAAAACAUGUAAUA